rnacentral:lncRNA from 1 species
UUCGCCUAGGAACCAGAAAGAAUCCACAGCCACUACAGCCACUGGAAAUAGGCCCACCAACUGUGGUCUCCACUAUGAACCUACUAUCAGGUGUAAGAUCUGGGACUACAUUCUAUUUUCUGUAAAUUGUGCAGAGCAAGUGUGUGGUGACCGUUUUUUCCCCCUCGGAUUUUAAUCUACUGGAUAUGCCCAUAGAGUUUGCAGGAAUAACGGCUGGUUCUGGAAGCUGUUGGAGAUGUGAGAUAAAGAAAGAGAAUAAAUAUAAAACAUCAAUACUACUAUUUUGAAACACUGAUUUACUUUUCGGAAAGAGAAGAAAGGGCAAAGGGAUGGGAACUAAUAUAGAUAUACCAAAUUAUGUGCAACACACACAAGAGAAAGAGGAAAAAGAAUGAGAAAGAGAAAGAGACAUUUGCUUCCCAGCCAUCCCAGUGUUCAUCAACAAGAACAACAACAACAACAGCAACAACAACAAAAUCAAAGGAGUGACAAUCUGUUCUUAGACUGUCUUCACAGUUCCCCACCAGAAAAAAGAGUAUUCCUUUUCUGCAGCACUUAAAUCCUAUACUGGCAGCAAUGAAAACCCAAGGGAAAUUAUCUACAAGUAUGAACAGACAGUCCUCAAUUUAUUUACGAGUUCGACCUACGAUUUUUUUGACUUCACAGUGGUGGGAAAGCAAUACUCAUUCAUUAGAAGCCAGACUUUGAGAACAACACUUCAUUUUCAGUACCAUUAGCUGAAGAAGUAUUAAGGCAAGGUUGCCUUCUUAAUGAUUAUUUCAUGUGUUCUAUCCUCAGUACAUCAUUUACAAUAUUCAGACUUGGAACAAAGUACUUUGAACUCUCCAGCGGCCAGUCAGAAAAUGAGGAACAGGUUGUGAAUAGAAGAUACAAAGGAGUAUUAGAUCUGCAUUGAUUAAAUGGUGACUACAAAUAGACUUAAAAUACAUCUUCCCAAUUAUGAAUCUCUACAGAAAAGAAAAGGAUCUUCCUUUAAGAUGGAAAUAUUAUUUCUC